rnacentral:rRNA from 1 species
AGACUAGAGGAUGGUAGAGGGAGGUGGAAUUCCCGGUGUAGUGGUGAAAUGCGUAGACAUCGGGAGGAACACCAGUGGCGAAGGCGGCCUCCUGGGCCAUUCCUGACGCUCAGACGCGAAAGCUAGGGGAGCAAACGGGAUUAGAAACCCCGGUAGUCCUAGCCGUAAACGAUGUGGACUUGGCGUUGGUGGGGUAAAAGCCAUCAGUGCCGUAGCUAACGCGAUAAGUCCACCGCCUGGGGACUACGGCCGCAAGGCUAAAACUCAAAGGAAUUGACGGGGACCCGCACAAGCAGCGGAGCGUGUGGUUUAAUUCGAUUCUACGCGAAGAACCUUACCCGGGUUUGACAUACUGGUGGUAGGGAUCCGAAAGGUGACCGACCCUUUGGGGAGCCAGUACAGGUGCUGCAUGGCUGUCGUCAGCUCGUGCCGUGAGGUGUCCGGUUAAGUCCGGUAACGAGCGCAACCCUCGCCGCAUGUUAUACGUAUCAUACGGGACUGCCGGUAUAAAGCCGGAGGAAGGUGGGGAUGACGUCAGGUCAGCAUGGCCUUUAUGUCCGGGGCUACACACACGCUACAAUGGCCAGCACAAUGGGUUGCAAGACCGCGAGGUGGAGCCAAUCCCCAAAGCUGGUCUCAGUUCAGAUUGUAGGCUGCAACUCGCCUACAUGAAGCCGGAGUUGCUAGUAACCGCAGGACAGCUAUACUGCGGUGAAUACGUUCCCGGGUCUUGUACACACCGCCCGUCACGUCAUGGAAGCUGGCAACACCUGAAGUCGGUAUCCUAACCCGCAAGGGAGGGAACUGCCAAAGGUGGGGCUGGUAACUGGGACGAAGUCGUAACAAGGUAACC